UGUGUAAUAUUCAUCACUCCAAAAAAUGUAUGAUCUGUACAGUCAUCGUUGUGGCCUAGUGGUUAAGGUUACAGUUUCGCGAGGACAAGAUGAGAGGUUCGAGCCCCGGCACGGACCAUGAGGUUGAAACAAGAACUGGCACCCAAAGCAAACAUUGUGAGGAAGACCGCUAACAAAGGGCUGGAUGACUCAGUUGUGUGCCGGCAUAAUUUAUCCAUGUGUGCUGGCAGAAGGACUUCAGGAGAAGUACUCCAGGCAGAAACUCCUCGGCAAUUAUCUUUACUUGGCACCGCUAUGAAAAAGCUGAGCUGGAGAGUUUAAUCAACCCCCAAAUUUAUUGGUCUUUUUUUAGGAAAGUUACACUCGCCAAGAGGAUCGGUUAAGACACAAUCAUUGAGUAAGAGUAAUUCCAGCAACACUUUGUAUUGCAGCUUAGCAUUAGUACAAGAAAUAUGGAAAUGGCAAUUUGUUUUGUGCUUUCUGCUCAUAAGUUGAUUGUUGUACGCUUUGCCAGCAAUGGCACAAGUAACUUUAAAUAUUCUUCUGCCAGCACCAAUUAAUAACUACCUUACAUCAACAGUCUCAAUAAAAGGACUGAUUAUAAGUAAAGGUCUGUUUACAAAGUGUAAGACUUCAUCAAAUUUUCCUCAUGGCUUUUUUGCACAAUUUAUUUGGAUUGUAAAACAUUUUCAGAGGAAGUGUGUUUGAGUCUAAAGCACAAUAUUGUAGGGGACCUGGGACUAGCGGAGAACAUGGCCGGGGAUGGAUCGGGGUGAUAGUCCGAACCAUGCCCCCCUCUACUGUCGCACUGGGCAGGGACUUGUUUUUAGUACAUCCCUGGCUUUCUCCAGGGCAUGGACUAAAAUACGUGCGAAAGUUCCAUGUCCAACGAGGCAUUUUAUAGCCAACCACUUUGAGGCAACAUGCAAGAAGAAAAAAACAUUGCCAUCUGAUCUUUUACAAAAAUUUCUUAUGGGUUUAGUGAACCCAUUUUUGAAAAAGUACUUUGAUGUCAAAGUGUUUUUGUUUGUGUGCACUGCAGCAGUCGACUCAAAAUUGCCGACAAAUUGACUUGUGUGACAAGGCCCUUUAAGUAUCAUCAUGAUGAAGUCAUUGUGUAUUUGUAAACAGACCUUUUUACAAUUCAUAAACAAAACAAAAAAAGCCUACCUUAAUAUCCUAGUUUUGAAUAAUUCACAGAGUUGAAGUACGAGAAGCUUGUAGUAGAGAGAUGAUGAAGUGUUUGAAGUCAUAAUGAAGCUGCAAUCUAAGUGUUCUCAUCAAAGCCCUUGCACAAUCUCUUGUGAGGAAACUGCUGCUCCUCAUCAUCUUAAUGAACCUGUAAACAGAAAUCAAAGAAUCAAGAAUUGUAUGAAUUAUAAGAGCCACUGAUCAAAUUUGAUCUUAGUUUUCUCAUGGAGCUAUUUAUUAUACUAUUUUUUAACUAUAAUGGCAAUAUUAUAACAGUUUCCUAUCCCAUAGGGCCUAAGUGAGCAGCUAAAAUUAAACUAAUAGUCUCUGAAGUAGAAUUGUUUUUUAAAAGUAAAAACAUUGUCUAAUAAAAAAAGGGGUUUACUUAGCUGUACUUUUAAAGUUUGUUUUAUGAAAGUUUUUGCUCUUGUAACAGUUCACUUUUGACUAUUGAAAUA